AUUACUAUGUUUUGUACUCCAAAACUCUCCUACUUCAUGACCUCUCUUGAUUCUUGCCGAUGCAAUUUUUUUUGUUUAAGUAAACAAUAUGAAUGAUAUUUGUGACUUUUGUUGAACUAAUUAUAAAAAUAUUUAAUUUAAGUAUCAAUUUAGUCAUCUGCACUGAAAUAAUGAAGUGGUUUUUUUAAUUGGUAGGAUGAUUUAUUUAAUUUUAAAUACAUAUAAUUAAAUAUGUAUAUAUAUAAUCAAAGUAAGAAAGAACUCUCUCUCUCUCUCUUUAUAUUUCCAAGGCCUUUGUAUUUUUGGGAUGGGGUCCAAGAACAUGAAAAAUAAUGGCGAAUCCAACAAGAGUGUUGGUGAUGGGCAAGAUUGAGAGAUUAAGAAAGGGAAUGAGCUUGAUUUUGGGUUCGAGAAUAGGUAAUGAAAGCCGGUUUUUUGUGAAGCUUCCAUGUCGCAAGGGCCUCAUAAGAAGAUUAUUCAUAGCCCUCAAUGUCUAGAACCUGUUUGAUCAAUUGAUUCAAUGGUGGAUCAGUUGUCUUCCUUACCUUCUAGUUUGCCUUCUUUAAUGCUUUCUUUACCUUAUUCGUCUUCUUCUAAUGCUUCUUUGCUUUCUUUGAGAUUGGUUUUCCCUUUCGCUUUUAACGCAACUCAGAAUCUGAUUUACUAUCGGCCAUCACCAUAAAGUCGGCAACAAAUGAUUUCACUUAGUCCUCGAUUGCAGCAACAUGGUUUUCUUAGUCCACGAUGUAUUUUUUUAUCAGAUAAUUUUAAACAAUUAUUAUGAUUUUUUUAAUAUUUUAUUAUAUUUUAUAGAGUACUUGUCAAUCUCUAAUCUUGUUUGUACAAUUUAAAA